rnacentral:lncRNA from 1 species
CCACAUACAUAAACAAGUUAUCAAUCAAAUAGAUAAGUAAAUCACAUUCACAAUUUCUGAAAUCAUAAUUGGAAGAAAUCAAAUCAUAUAAAACAUAUGUCCAUGGCUUCAAAUUCACCUCUAACUAAAAAGAAAUUAGUUCCACAUGUCUAACAUAAUUGAACAACAAUGUAAAUUAAACAUGAAAACAGAAACAAAGAAAGAAAGAACUCCAAACACUCCACUAAUGGCAGAUUGCAUGUGCAAGGUGUCUCCUUCCUUUGGACUGCACGGCACUCCUUCUUUCUCCUCCUUUGGUGGCUGCACAAGGUGGUGAUGGUGGUGGGAAGGCACGGCUGUGGUGGAUGGAUGAUUAUGGAAGAGGGUAGAAGGGUUUAAAAGGACUAGGGAGGCACGGCAAGGACUUAGAACUAGGGAGAAUGGGAUUGGUGGUUGCGGCAAGGGUUUAGAAUGAUUUUCUGGAGUGAAUGGAUGAUAUGGGGGGUGGUAGGUUCGGCCAAAGGGUUUAAAGGAGUAUAUAUAGGCACUUCAAACCCUAGCAAUCAGAUUAGGGUUAGAGAUGGGCCUUCUAGGAUGCCUUGCAAGGCAAGGAAAUCAGGUAUUUUGGGGCCCUAGGUGCGGCAGAGAUUAGGGAAAUCAGAUUUGGAAAUGGGCUAGGGUUUAGGUGCGGCAUUAAGUGAGGAUCCAAGAUGAAUUGGGCUAGGAGGGUGCGGCCUUGUCCAAGAGGUAGGGAUGGGUCGUCUAGAAGCCCAAAGCCAAAAAUAGAAACUCUCGAAAAUGGAAACCUCCAAGAAUAGAAACUUCCAACUUUAGAAACUUUAGUUGCCAAUUCCGACUUCUUUGUUCUUCACUUUCAUUUCUUCAUUUCUUACGCUCCCUUGACCUUCAAACUCGUCCAUUCCUUGUGCUCCAAGCAUGUACUUUUCAAUCCAAGCUCACUUUUGCUCUAAAAACUCCAAUUUGCCAACUUUUAUGUAUUAUGCCCUUUGAACCUGAAAACGCAUGAAAGUAGCUCAAAAGACUACUUUAACUAAGAAAACAUAACGAAAAUGCAUAAGAACUAGCUAACUAAGGUGCAUAAAUAUGCUCCUAUCAGGCAGCUCCAUUAUUCUACUACCAGCCGCGUGUUCUCCUUAGAAGUUCCAAUUUAAAAUCCAUACAAGACUCACUUCUGGGAGAGCUCUCGACCAUACCAUUACUCACACACCUAGCUUCCAUUUUCUGUCCAUCCUCUCUCCCAUUUUUUGCACAAACCAUUCAUCCACAAGCUGCUCAACCUUUAUUCAUAUACAUCACAUUUGGAGAACCAAGACCGAAGGUCACUCUUAAAGGAUUUCAACAUCAGUUUUGCUUCAAGGGUUUCUUCUUCUCAAUUCUAUGUUCACUCAUGUUAUAUAUUUUUAUGUUAAAUCAUUUGUAAACAUGAAGUGUAACUAAUCUCAUUCUAGGGAUUCGAUGUAGCCUAGCAAGAUUGCCAUG